UGCUACUCCUGGUAAUUUACCUGAUUACAUGGAAAGAGCUGUAGAUCUUUUUAUAAUUGCUGUUUUACUUAAAACAUUGAUUCUUUAGCUCCUGUCUAUUUUCAGGUCAUCACACCUCACUGGAGGCUUCCCUGCUUUAAUGAGCAACUCAGAAACCACAGAGACUGGAGGAUGGAAGUCGUUGGCCGUUGUCGUGUUUGAAAACAGCUCCAUAGCAUUCAUAAGAGGAUUCUUGGCACCUGCCUAGUUAAACUGGAUGUCCAAUGUUAUCUCUCCAGGCAGAAUUUUAUAAAUCUUUGGGCUGUUGCUGCUGCUCCUCUGACAUGGCCCAUCAUCAGCAUACCAGCUCUACUGGCAACUACACAGCCUGGAAAUAAAAGCUGGCAGGCUGGAUGCAGCGCUGAUGUUGAUGGGGAGGUGUUUGGCUGCACCACCACUGCACCAGAGUCUGAAUAAGAGGGAGGAAUCAGGUUUCCACUCACACAUAUGAAAUCACCUUUAAAAUACCCUGGCCCAGCUCUUCUUG
rnacentral:lncRNA from 1 species